AGAAGCAGGCCGCACACCUGUGUCUCCCAGAGAGCCAACUGGCCUGCCUGCCCCUCGCCCCCCGACACAUGACGCAGAGCAGUUUACUCAGGUGCCAGAACAGGGAGUGAGGCGGCGGAGCGGUAGCCAGGGAGACCAGAGGCAGUUGCCAGAGAAAUGCAGCGCUGAGCACCGAGGCGGGGGGGGGGGGGGGGGGGGGGGGGGGAGGGGGGGUGCGCGUGGGGGAGGGGAGCCCCCCCCCCCCCCCCCCCGCUGCGCUUCCAGAAGCGCCCCCUGGCUUCCCAGCGCUGUCACGGAGGCUGCGGCGCUUCGCAGUGCUCCCGGGAGGCACGUGCAGAGGGCUGAGGCCUGCAAGGCGCACCCCGCUGGCCGCCUGCACCGGGGCUGCCUCGACCUCCCGGAGGCCCCGGGGCAGCCCUGGGCCCCCUCACGGAGCCUGUGGCCGGGCCCGGGCACCCCGUGAGCACGCUACUAAGUCAGAAGCGACUGAAUGACACACAAGACCCGCUCCAGGACGCCACCCAGGGAGCGACGCAAGUGACGGACCCAAAGGUACCACGGGGAAGCCGCGGAGUGUUUCUGUUCAAGCGGCAUCUCGGAGUGGAAGACCUGAAAAGUGGCUCCAGCUGGAGGACUCCUGGCACCAGGAUAAGAAGUGGUGAGAUGUUCAGGGAGUGUGGGCACCCCCAGCAUUGCUCACGCUCCUCAGGACGGCUCCAGCUGUGAGGCCUUAGGGACACCACAGCAUCCUCCGCAGUAAUGGGGCAGUAGGGAUAGGAGCUCCUAAUGGCCAGGGUCUAGCAGUGCAGCCCUAAGUGCUUUCUUGAUAGAUGAGUGGGGUGGGGGUUGGGGCAGAUAAAGGGCUCAGACCACUUUCUAGUAGAAAAUCCCAGACACUAUGUCCUGCUUUUACCCCCUCGUUCUCCGUAGCCCACCCUGGGCUUCACCCUUCCAGGUACUCUCGUUCACUGUCCUUCUCUUGACCCUGGGACACAGGACUGAGCAGGCAGUUAGAGAAGGAAGACCCAGACCACCGCCUUGAGGACCCCCGUCCAUGAGCACCCUGGCCCAGCUCUCCCACACACACCCGACUCCGCCGCCGGUUGUAGGCUGAUAGAGUCAGACAGGAUCUCCGGGGCUGGGCAGGCCUUCUGUGGUUCACAGCCUUGUCCCGGUGGCCAGUGGUCCUAGCUUUGUCACCACAGUGCCCAAGACACGUUGGCUACUCAGUCACCGAGGAGGAAGAAAGGACCCAGGCAGGCCUCCUCCCACCCCCACCAAGCCCUGGCAUGUUGAGCUAGAGUAGAGACAGGGGUGACCGAACAGGCCAUGAACUUGGGUCAGCAAGUCUGGGUCACCAAGCAGCUGGUGGUGAGGAUCCUGGCUGUCCAGAGGCCAGGCCCUCUUGUGGGUCAGAGUUGUCCUGCUUUCCCUUCCUUGCCCAGUCAGACCAGGGAUGCCCUGUCACACUGAGUUACAUAUGCAACCCCUUUAAUCUGCAGGCUAUGCUAGGAGGUGACCCCAAAAGGCCCAGAAGAAGGUUCUGAACUAGUAUAGGGCUUGUCCCAUGCUGGGCGGGUUCCCAGCAUGGGCACAGCCUUGUGGUGGCUUCCUUGAUGUCACUAGAUAGGGAUGUCUUUAUCUUCUGCAGAUAGAUCUGUCCCCCAGCCCUGGCGGCUAGCCAGUUGCUGCAGCCUGGCCAGAACCUGAAGACUUUGCCCGGGGCGCGACUUUGAAGCCAUGCUGGGCUGGGCUCCAGUUCCCAGGCCCUCUCUGCGUUCACUGUGCUCUGACCUGUAGAGACCCAUGGUCAGGCUCGGACCACACUCAGACCUCCUGGGUCUGCCGUCAUGCUCUGCCCUGGGGACGCAUUCUGCCUGCCUUCUAUCCCCCUCCUCCUCCUCCCCGCAGCUGUCCCCGGACACUGGCAGAACAGAACGCUAAGAGGACUUCAUCGGCUGUGCUGCAGUCCGGUCCGGGGCCCUCCAUGAAUCCCCAGCCCUGGGCCAGCUUCCUGCUAAGGGGGCAGCGUGAAAUCCAGGAAGCCUGAGCCCAGGCCCCUGAGGCCCUGGGGACAAAGUGGCACCACAGAACACAUGCUACGGUGUUACACUUUACAUAUUUUGGAAGCACUGCUCACUCAGCCGCUUUCUUCAUGGAGAAAGGCGUCAAGGAGCCCCGAUACUCACCGCCACCUCCGGAAGCCUCGUCCCAGCUGCAGAGGCCGUCCGUCUUCACUGCUCAAGUGUGUCCACGGAGCAACCUCAGCCCCCGGGGCUCACAUGAGCUCUGGACCCCCGGGCGUUCACAACACCCCACAACCCCUCACUCUGCAGGCCAGAGCUCUCCUCUCCACUCACACACUCGGGACAUGCGGCUCAUUCACAGCUCCAGCUCUCACCUCGGCUCCUGACUCCAGCUGAGAGGUGUUGCCGGGGCACGGACCCACACCUGUGGUCGCUUACCAAAGGGCCAGCUCCCAAACAUGCCCCGUGCCCCUCACCAUCAGCUCAUCUGGAACCAACCACGCUCCUCCCUCCUCCCCUGCCGAGCCCAUUCCUCCUCCUUUGGCAUCAGGGGUUGGGCAAAUUUCAGUGGGCAAGCCAAAUCCAGCCCACGGCCCAUGAUGUAUUUUAUAUUUUUUAAGUGUU